rnacentral:lncRNA from 1 species
GUGUGUAUACAUAUACACAAACACACACACUAAGGACAUCUUUUGUGAAAGUACGACACAGCCACAUUCUUCUGCUUGUGUCCAGAAGCAGUGUUUAAGGUUUCAGGCCAAGUCAGUCCCAGAUCCUUCACAGUUGUCCGUGUGUCCCCUACUUUGGGAGACUCAGCUGCAGUUGCCUCCAGCCAUUGUCCCUUUAGAAAAUCAAGAAUUUACUGUUUGGUAUUUAAUAUACCUUUAUCUUUGUUGACCAAAUCUAUGCCUCUCACCUCCCCCAUUUACCUUAGGAGGUCAUUUUAUUCUUUGACAUUAUAUGUGUGUCUGUAUAUAUAUACAUAUAUAUAUAUAUAUCACGUGAUCACGUGACCAACCAGACCAUCAGAUGUUGCUACACAUCGCUGGUCACAAUGCACUUAGCAUUGUUUUAGCCUUCGAAUGACGCCACCCCGCUGGCUAAAUGAGCAGGCCAACAGAAGAAAGAGUGGUGAAAGAGUACAGCAGAGAUCACCACCCCCUGCCGGAGCCUCAUGGAGUUUUUUUAGGUGUUUUCGCUCAAUAAGCACUCACAACGCCUGGUCUGGGAAUCGAAACCGCGAUCCUACGACCGUGAGUCCGCUGCCCUAACCACUGGGCCAUUGCGCCUCCAUAUAUAUCUAUAUAUAUAUAUAUAUUUGAAGAUCAUUGAUAUAUGUCUAUACAUGUGUGCCUGGCAUGUGUGUCUUUCUAUAUGUGUGUAUAUACACAAUUGUUUAUAUAUAUAUAUAUAUAUAUAUAUAUAUAUAUAUAUAUAUAUAUUGUUGUGUAAGAUAUUUUUAUGUGAAAUCGUAUGUUGAAACAGAUAUUGUUGUAUUUCGGAAUGGUCAUUUUGCCAGUUUAGCCAAUAAAAAAACACACGCACUAUAUAUUUGAUACGAAAUGGCUGACCAUUAGUAAGGAGAGACACACAAAUAAGAAAGAAGAAAGCAAAGGACCACUGAUGAGGUCACAGGAGUGUGACGAAAGAACUCUGGCCGAAAUAAGAUUAAGAUUAAUGUAAAAAAUAAAUAACACCAAAUAUAUAGUGCGUGUGUUUUUAUUGGCUAAACUGGCAAAAUGACCAUUCCUAGAUACAACAAUAUAUAUAUAAUAUCUGUAUAUAUGUAUAUGCAUAUAUAUAUGUGUGUGUGUAUAUCUAUCUAUAUAUUUUUAUGUUCGUUAAUUACCCUGAUUAAUUACUCAAUACUUAUUUAAAGUACUUUUCCAGGAAAAAGUUAACAGGGACCUCGAAGUUUUUGCCUUAUUUCCCUUCUGUCUGUUGUUAGUAAGCAAGCGAAAACUUCAAAGUUACUGUCAACAUUUUCCUUUUAAAAACUUAUACAUACAUGUAUAUGUAUGUAUGUAUGUAUGCGUGCGUGUAUGUAUGUAUGUAUAUAAUAGAUUUGUUUAAAAAUGAAGCAGUCCAACCAACCAACCAAGCUGUUAUAAUGAAGAACUGUCUUGGAAGGAAUGAAAGACUUGCUGAAGACUUUAAUGUGGGGCAUCCCCACCCCCUCCACUUCCUGCUCAACUGCAGACAACAUCCUUUGCUGUGUAUUUGUUUUUCUGUCUCUUUUUUUUUGGGGGGGGGGGGGUUCCAUUCAUGUGAUGUUGUUUGGUUGUUUAUAGUUUUGAAUCCUAUUUUGUGGUGGUCGUCUGCUGUGGGACACCUGAAGCAUCAUGAGAUAUGCGGUGGGGGGUGGGUGGGUGGGAAGUGGGGGGUUGCAUGUCGAAUAACCAGAGGGAUUAUGGGACGUGUGGGUAGCGGAGAGGAGGGGGGUCUCGGUUAAUUAUGCAUUGCCUUUAUAUCUCUGAAAUGAAGAAGAAAUUGUGGGGUGGGGUGGGGGAGAGUGAUGGUCAGUCGAUGGCAUGGUCAUGGAUGGGUUGGUGUUUCUGUUGUUAGCAAAAACCUCCCUGAAAAUACAAUGGAAACUUUUCUUUGUAUAUAAAAAAAGUGCAUUAAUCUAUUUUAACAGGGAUUACAAGAAGCCAUCAGUCAGGAUGGAGGGUCACCGAUGGAUAUCUGUAGUGUUACCUAUGUAUAUGUGUAUGUAUGUAUACUUUUCUUCUCUUAUUUGUUUCAGUCAUUUGACUGUGGCCAUGAUGGAGCAUCAUGUUUGGUCUAACAAAUCGACCCCAGGACUUAUUCUUUGUAAGCGUAGCACUUAUUCUAUCGGUCUCUUUUACUGAGCUGCUAAGUUACAGGGACAUAAAGACACCAACAUCGGUUGUCAAGCAACAGUAGGGGUACAAACACACACACACACAUAUAUAUACGACGGGCUUCUUUCAGUUUCCGUCUACCAAAUCCCCUCACAAGGCUUUGGUUGGCUUGAGGCUUUAGUAGAAGACACUUGCCCAAGGUGCCAUGCAGUGGGACUGAACCUUCAACCAUGUGGUUGGGAAGCAAGCUUACCACACACCCAUGCUUCACCUAUAUAUGUGUGUGUAUAUAUAUAUUUAUAUAUAUAUAUAUGUGUAUAUAUAUAUAUAUAUAUAUAUAUAUUAUAUAUAUAUAUAUAUAUAUAUAUAUAUAUAUAUAUAUAUAUAUAUGUGUAUAUAUGUGUGUAUAUAUAUAUAUAUAUAUGUAUAUAUAUAUAUAUAUGUAUCAUCGUCUUCUUCCUACUGGCAUGGGGGGAUUGGAUGGUUUGACAUGAAGCUGCCCAGACUUUGUCUGUUGUGGCAUGGUAGGCAUAUGUUAGUUAGUGAAGAUCCUGAUGAUGUGUCUAUGAUUAAUGAGAGAGAGAUGGAAGACGGAAGAUGGAAGAAGCUUUAUUCAUCACUAUGAUUGUUUCGGCCCCUCUAGCACUGUCCCUUCACAAGUGGGAUUCUGACCAUCUGCUUCAGGCGUAUCCCUUGGUGUAGAUGUGUGUCUUCAGAUGAUUUCAAAAGGUCUCCAGUUACUUGGAAUCACCCGAGGGGACAGAUACACGGCUGGCCAAAAGUCACCCGACAAUAAAUCAAAAUUCCAUAAAUACUAUCGGUAAUUCUGUAUUGACUCCAAAUGGGAAAAUGCAUUGUUUAUAUAUGUGUGUGUAUGCUUAUAUCUAGGCACAUCAACCUGUAGGGUGCCAGAAAAUGGCUAGGCACAGUAACAUCGAACUCACAACAUUGAAGUCAUCAAGUGUUGAUAGGAUACUGGAGAUAGGAAAGUGGGAAAUCUAUUCUAAACCCUAGAUCUCCCUCUGGGGUUGGCCCUUGAUGUGACAUAGGUGUAAGUACCUGUGUGUGUAUCACUGAAGCAACCAGACUGUCAGGUGUUACAUACUGCUGGUCACAAUGCGCUUCUGCUGGCUUGGCAGGCAGACCAGCAUUCCCCCUUGAAUGGGAUGUCAGCCUGUCACAGGGGUGACCCAUUUGCAGCUGAGCAGACUGGACUGACAUGAAAUGAAGUCUUUUACACAAGAACACAGAGCAACGUCCAGUCUGCAAAUUGAAACUACAAUCGUGUGAUUAUGAGUGAAGUGUCCUAACCAUCAGGCUUUGCAGCAUUGCAUCCAUAACAAUUUGGUCAGCUUUGGCACAUGCGCAUAUAUAUAUAUAUAUAUAUAUAUACACCAAAAAAUAAGCAACAAGAAUGGAUCAGUAGUUUAGUACAAUUGUUUCAUACUAUAAACAUUUUAUUUAAAGCUGCAAAUGUUACAGCAAAUAUAAUGUCGAGUAUUCUUCAGCUAAAUUUCAUAUAGCUUUUCCAAACAUCUUAGAGAGUGUAAAUAUCCUUAUAAAGUGUAAAUAUAUAUAUAUAUAUAUAUAUACAUACAUACAUACAGAGACUGAGAGAUUGAAGCAGUGCAGGAGAUGAGCUACAGAGGGAGAGGCUGAGAAAACUGCAACUUUUACUUUCUGGAGCAAAGUCGUGAGAGAUAUGCAAUAAUGUACCUAUGGAAAAUCCUACAAGGGCUGGCACCUAAUUUUGGUAUUGAGUGCUAUACAAAUGCCAGAACUGGCUGUCAUUGUAUUGUAGCAAAGGCAGCAACCACUAUAUCUAAAUUCAGGACCAGGUACUGCAAUAAUAGUCUAGGGGUCAAAGGGCACAGUUCUUCAAUACCCUGACACGAAAAUUAAGAAAUGCUGCGUGAAGUGGAAAAUGUUUUCAAAAGGGAACUCCACAACACUGGAUAAACCGACGUGAGAUGCAGACGAGGGCAGCAGAAUCCAACUCCCUUAUCCACCAAAUGGGCCAACAGCUGGAACCAAGGCACAGACGGGUGUGGUGAUACAAAACUGCCCAGAGUGGGGAAAUCAGAAAGACCAUGGUGGUGCUGCAGCAUGACCGCAACCAUACGGCUGAAACGAGUAAAUGAACAUUCACACAGAUGCACACAAAUUGUCGUAAAGACAACUUUUCUGUAGGGGAGGCCUUAUAUAGUUUUUCUGUCUCUCGAUAGGAGACCGAUCUAUCUGAGGUAUACACAGACUCUGAGCUCUCUUUCUCUCUCUCUCGCUUCAAUGGACCUAGGGAGGGUGAAGUAUUUUGGCAGUGUAGUAUAAAUUCUUUGCCUCUGGGAUGGAACCCUAGUCCCUCCAGGGCAGUGGUUCCCAACCUUUUCACUACCAAGGAACCCUUUUAUUUAAAUGAGUUUUCCAACAGACCCCAAAAUAUUGAAAGGUCUGUCAGCUUAAAAUGGACUGUGUUAACGUAGUUAAGUCCCCCAGAAACUUGACAAAGACGACCGGUAAAUCUCCACCUGGGUAUGACACACAUUGGCUGCCAUUGGAUGCUCUGCCUCUUAUUUCCUCAGAAUUCUUUGGGUCUUUGCUAUGUUUAUAGAUAUAUAUAUAAGUCUCCGGCACUUAGCGGUUCGGCAAAAGAGACCGAUAGAAUAAGUACUGGGGUCGAUUUGCUCGACUAAAGGCGGUGCUCCAGCAUGGCCGCAGUCAAAUGACUGAAUCAAGUAAAAGAGUAUAUAUAUAUAUAUAUAUACUUGGACUGGUUUCAACCAGGAACUGUGGCCUUGCUGGGGCACCACCCAAAAUGUAUAUAGAUAUAUAUUAUAUGUAUAUAUGUUUGUGUAUAUGAGUGUGUGUACGUACACACAUGUAUACAGGUAUGUGUAUAUAUGUUUUCCUGUGUUGUAUAUACAAUGGUGUUUGUGUGCUUGUGUAUAAAUGUGUUAUACAUGUAUGUAUAUUUAAAUAUGUCUAGCCAUCAACAUAUAUAUAUGUAUAUAUACAUGUGUAUAUAUAUAC